GAGUUUAGUAAUGCUCGAUCUAUUCAGCUAUGUGAAGAAGAGGCGGAGCAUUAACACCAUUCACAUAAAAGUAACAUUUAACUUUGGUGACACCUUGAGCAAGAGCUCACACCUCUCACAUCAGUGCUCGGUGCAGUUUGACAAGGACCAGCCAGUUUAAUGAGGCACAGCUCUUCUGUUCUUUGUCAUUGUUCUGGGGUUGAAUGCACAGACUCAUACAGAUAUCACAUCACUCCCUGUCACUUCAAGUAUUUCUUCAGAUGAGUCUCACACAUCUCCUCAAACACCUCCUACAACAGCCCCUGCCAUUACAAGCUCUGGAUCUCAAAUAACAGCCACUGCCACUACAAGCUCUCCUUUAAACGAAUCUCAAACGUCAGUUCCUGCAACAACCUCUGCCACUGCAAGCUUUCCUUCAACUGAGUCUCAAACAUCAGCUCCUACAACAGCCACUGCCACUAUAAGCUCUCCUUUAAACGAGUCUCAAACAUCUGCUCCUACAACAACCUCUGCCACUGCAAGCUUUCCUUCAACUGAGUCUCAAACAUCAGCUCCUACAACAGCCAAUGCCACUACAAGCUCUCCUUUAAAUGAUUCUCAAACAUCAGCUCCUACAAUCUCUGUCACUGAAAGCUCUCCUUCAACUGAGUUUCAAACAUCAGCUCCUACAACAGCCAAUGCCACUACAAGCUCUCAUUUAAACAAGUCUCAAACAUCAGCUCCUACAACAGCAACUGCCACUACAAGCUCUCCUUUAAACGAGUCUCAAACAUCAGCUCCUACAACAGCCAAUGCCACUACAAGCUCUCCUUUAAACAAGUCUCAAACAUCAUCUCCUACAACAGCCCCUGCCACAAGCUCUCUUUUAACUGAGUCUCAAACAUCAGCUCCUACAACUCCUUCCACUACAAGCUCUCUUUCAACUGAGUAUCAAACAUCAGCUCCUACAACUCCUACCACUACAAGAUCUACUUCAAAUGAGUCUGAAAUAUCAACUUCUACAUCUACUUCCACUACAUGCUCUCCUUCAACUGAGUAUCAAACAUCAGUUCCUACAAGUUCCCCGAACACAGAGUCUAUCACUUCCACUGGGUAUGUUGGCAUAGUUUUGGGAGUGAUCUGUUUUCUCUUCAUCAUCACUCUCAUUCUUUUCUUCUAUUCAAGAAGACCGACCAAAAACGAAUGUCCAGGCAUCCCCAUACACACCAUUAGGUAAACUUUGUUUUAGAUCUUUAUAGUUGAAUAUUUAUUUUACAAAACUUAAAAUUGUUAAUGCAUU
rnacentral:lncRNA from 12 species